UGGUGGAGUGAUUUGUCUGGUUAAUUCCGUUAACGAACGAGACCUCAGCCUGCUAACUAGUCACAGGAAUCGUCUAAAUGGGUGAAGUAAAUAUCGUGUUGGCCUACGGGUUAACUCGCUUUUUAUGGAUCCUUGAUGUAUUCUCUGGCAGUACUUCUUAGAGGGACUAUUCGUAUCUAGCGAAUGGAAGCUUGAGGCAAUAACA
rnacentral:rRNA from 1 species